rnacentral:miRNA from 1 species
UGUGUGUGUGUGUGUGUGUGUGUGUAGGUGUUUAUACACCUACACACACACACACACAUAUACACU